UCCUACGGGGCGCAGCAGUGGGGGAUAUUGCACAAUGGGGGAAACCCUGAUGCAGCGACGCCGCGUGGGCGAAGAAGUAUUUCGGUAUGUAAAGCCCUAUCAGCAGGGAAGAAGAAAUGACGGUACCUGAGUAAGAAGCACCGGCUAAAUACGUGCCAGCAGCCGCGGUAAUACGUAUGGUGCAAGCGUUAUCCGGAUUUACUGGGUGUAAAGGGGGCGCAGACGGCGACGCAAGCCAGGAGUGAAAGCCCGGGGCCCAACCCCGGGACUGCUCUUGGAACUGCGUGGCUAGAGUGCAGGAGGGG
rnacentral:rRNA from 1 species